CGGACCUCAGAUCAGACAAGACCACCCGCUGAGUUUAAGCAUAUCACUAAGCGGAGGAGAAGAAACUAACAAGGAUUUCCCUAGUAACGGCGAGCGAACCGGAAGUAGCCCAGCUGGGAAAAUCUA
rnacentral:rRNA from 2 species